rnacentral:misc_RNA from 1 species
CAAAUGCCAGAAAGUUUUUGUUGUAUACAUUUAACUGUUUAGUAGAGACAACCAGAAACCUGAAAUGAAUAAAACAAAACUUCGGCCAAACUACAUUCUAACCUGGUGACAAAUUCUGGCAAUUUUUCUCUAGGAUUUUAUCAUUUUUCGAUUGCAUGAUUGAUACAAGUAAACCUAUUAUUACAAUAACAAACCCAAAGUUUUGAGGAGGAAGAAAGAAUUUAUCUUUCUCCUUUUUCUUCGUUGAAGAGCUCGUAAUGUGUUUCCAACAUCUCUGAUGUGCUUGGCUGGAGGGCUAACACCCUUCCUGACAAAUAAAGCAAUAAAGAAGCCCUCCUGAUCCUCUAUGAGAUCGGUUCUAAGCACACGUUGAGAUCCAUCAAAAAUUGGAUGACCUCGGCGAGCCCACUGGGGAAAGAUUGUUGUCAGUUCAAAACCAUAAGACGAAGCGAGAGGCAGAACAGAUUUGAUAACAUCUUCAUUCUCAACUUGGUUAACAGAACAUGUACUGUAAACAAUUCUCUCAACAGCUGGAAAAGAUAAUGCAUGUUCCAAAGCCUUUCUCUGGAAAGCCGCGAGCUUUUCUAGUCUAUUGACAUCAGAGUCUGUUGUAUAUGAGGGGAGCAGGUGAUCUAAUCUAUCAACAACAGUCCCAGAGCCUGAACAUGAUGGAUCUAACAGUAUUGCUUGAACCUUCGAGUACGCUGGAUCCUCAGGACUGAUGUUUAAGAAGUCUUCAUGCUUGAUUUCCACAUUAGUCGCUCCAGCCAGUUCAAUUGUGUCCUUCAGACGUUUAACCCUUUCUUUAUUAAGUUCACAAGCUAUUAUCUUUCCAUUUCCCUUCAUAAGAGCAGCUAGAUGAACAGUUUUGUUCCCUGGUGCCGCACAUGCAUCAAUGACCUCCCAUCUGGGUUUAGGCCCAAGAGCAACUGCAACCAUGGAACUUGCCUUACCCUGCAGAAAGACACUUCCACUUUUCACCAAAGGAUGAUCAUGCAAGUCAGUCCUUGGGGGUAAAAUCAACAGGUCAGGAACCAUUGCAUCCUGACAAACCUCGUACUGUUUCUUAAAUUCGACUAG